GGAUGUGGGAGUGAUCUGGCCUUGCCAGCUGUCACUCUGCUGACUGCAGGGCUGAUUGGGCUAAUCUGGCCGGCCAGGCUGGUGUCCCCAUCCUCCUUCACCACUCCGUCUAUGUGUGUCCCUCCCAAACCUGCUCUCUUGGUUGGACCUUCCCCAAUAGAGGAGGGACAAAGAUGUUCAGGUAGCUUUCCCCUGAUAUUAGAACUUCCAAAUAAACUCUCAACACGCAAAAUAAUUAAAUAAAGUCAUUUUGCUUAUUUAAAAAAAAAAAGUCAAGGAACCAGAGAUACGGUUCAACAGGUGAAAGCCAUUAUCA
rnacentral:snRNA from 1 species